rnacentral:rRNA from 2 species
AGCACAGGAGAGCUUGCUCUCUGGGUGGCGAGUGGCGGACGGGUGAGGAAUACAUCGGAAUCUACUUUUUCGUGGGGGAUAACGUAGGGAAACUUACGCUAAUACCGCAUACGACCUACGGGUGAAAGCAGGGGAUCUUCGGACCUUGCGCGAUUGAAUGAGCCGAUGUCGGAUUAGCUAGUUGGCGGGGUAAAGGCCCACCAAGGCGACGAUCCGUAGCUGGUCUGAGAGGAUGAUCAGCCACACUGGAACUGAGACACGGUCCAGACUCC